rnacentral:lncRNA from 1 species
CUUGUAUAUAUGGGUCAAUAUGGUAUAGUAAAAAGAGCUUAGUCUAAAAGAAUCAUUUUGUAUUAUCUUUAUGAAGUGAAUUAAUCUCAUUGGGACAGUUGGAAAAUAGGGAUAAUAAUAAUAUGUGUACAACCUCUCAAUCAAUAGUGAAAGCCUGUGUAUAUGUAGUUCAAUAUUUCAAUAUUAAUUUCAAUUAAUUAUGAUAUGCAUAUAAAUAAGUUCGGAACUGGCCGACAUAGUCAACAAAUAUUAUAUUGCUAUUACCGUUUGGAUUGUUCCCUUGUUUUACAGCUUGGUAAUGUUAUACAAUAACAUUAUCUUUCUGAGGAAUUCUUCACUCAUGCAACAUGUGAAAAGAACAACAUUUUAAGUCCAUGGUCUCCAAACUUGUCAAUACCUGUUCCUCCUCUCUCUCUUGAACUUCAGUAAAAGAGAUCAAAUUUUAUGAAUUUGUCUUCUAUAAGCUUACUCAGGUUGGAGGAUGGAUGCUUCAUACAUAAAAAAAAUGAAAGGAUUAAGGUUGUUUGGACAGAGCUUCAACCGGUCUUCUUAAACUAGUCAGACUGCACCAAGUUGAUUUGAGAUACUGGAUAGCAUUUCUGUCAGCUGCUUUGUCUCAGUGUGGUGGUGGGAAAGGAACUGCUCAUUAAAAGAAGAUAUUCAUAGAAUGGCUACAGCAAAUGCUAAAACAUUUCAGCUCACCUUAAACCUUAAAGAAGUUAGGGGUAAAUAAUACCUCUGGUAUUGAAGAGGCGAAUAUGUUCAGAAACCAAGGAAUCAACUUUAACAGCCCUAAAGAUCAAGCAUCCAAGGCAGCAAACACUUUCACCACUCCAGGCCACACUAUAUUGCUCACUUUUUAAAUACCUACCACCUAGUAGGUUGCCUCACACAGAAUACUUAUUAAUAUUUAUUAAUUCAAGUGUGUCAUUUUCACUGUAAGUUAUUGUUCAUUGUUUGACAGUGCCCUAUGAUGGCCUCUAGGAGGAACUUUUCUGGACUAAGUACCAUGAUUUUUACUAAUUCUUCUAAAAACC